rnacentral:lncRNA from 1 species
AGCCCACCAACAACCUGGACAUCGAAUCCAUCGACGCCUUGGCCGACGCCAUCAACGAGUACCGGGGGGCCGUCAUCGUGGUGAGCCACGACGCGCGGCUGAUCACGGAGACGGCGUGCCAGCUCUGGGUGGUGGAGGAGCGGGGGCUGAGCCAAAUCGACGGCGACUUCGACGACUACAAGCGCGAGGUGCUCGAGGCCCUGGGCGAGGUGGUCAUCAGCCGGCCCCGCGAUUAAAAAUUUUGGGGCGUUUUAGGGUUUUUUUUGGGGUCCCGGGGGGCGUCGGGGCUCUGUCCCGACCCCUCGCCCCGAGAUCUUCCCUUCACACCUUGGGGGAAUAAAGAGGGGAAUGGUGCAAGGAGAGCGGCUGAGUGGUGAUUGGGGGUGGGUUGGGGUUAAUUUGGGGGGUUUUGGGACCUAUAAAGCCCCUAUGGGGACCCCAUUAUCCUCUGUGGGGUCCCCAUUACCCUUUUUGGGGACCCCAUAACCCCAAACCCUCUCCUGGUUGACAGUGUGACUGCAGCCAUCAGUAGGUUCCAGAGUUAACAGCAGUGUGUUUAAAUAUUUGGGGGUGCAGGGAGGGGGUCUGGACCCCAUAAACACCAUGUGGGGACCCUGUUAACCCUCCUGGGGACCCCAUUAUCCUCUGUGGGGUCCCCAUUACCCUUUUUAGGGACCCCAUAACCCCAAACCCUCUCCUGGUUGACAGCACGAUGAUGGUCAUCAGUAGGUUCCAGAGUUAACAGGAGUGUUUUCACAUAUUUGGGGGUGCAGGGAGGGGGUCCUGGACCCCAUAAAGACCCUAUGGGGACCCCAUUAUCCUCUGUAGGGUCCCCGUGACCCUUUUUGGGGACCCCAUAAUCCCCCCAUGCCAUCGGUAGGCUCCAGAGUUAACGCGGACCUUAAUUAACACCAAUUAACGCCUCUUUUCCAACAGUUUAUUACUAAUGUACAAAAUAUACAAAAGGGGGGGGCGGGCGCUGCCCCCCCCGGCCAAGUUUUCACAGAAAACAGCAUCCGGCGCAGCCUCCCACCCCCCCCCCCCCCAAAAAAAAACCCAAAAAACCCCUUUUUUCCCCCAAAAAAAGUGAGAGCGGCGCAGCCCCGGGCGGCGGCGUGUGUCGCACGUGUGUCUGGGACCCCAGGCGCAAGGAGAGGG